ACGAACGCUGGCGGCGUGCUUAACACCUGCAAGUCGCGCGGAAAGGCCCUUCGGGGUACUCGAGCGGCGAACGGGUGAGUAACACGUGAGUAACCUGCCCCAGACUUUGGGAUAACCCUCGGAAACGGGGGCUAAUACCGGAUACGACACAGCUUCGCAUGGGGUCUGUGUGGAAAGUUUUUCGGUUUGGGAUGGGCUCGCGGCCUAUCAGCUUGUUGGUGGGGUGAUGGCCUACCAAGGCGACGACGGGUAGCCGGCCUGAGAGGGCGACCGGCCACACUGGGACUGAGACACGGCCCAGACUCCUACGGGAGGCAGCAGUGGGGAAUAUUGCACAAUGGGCGGAAGCCUGAUGCAGCGACGCCGCGUGAGGGAUGACGGCCUUCGGGUUGUAAACCUCUUUCAGCAGGGACGAAGCGUAAGUGACGGUACCUGCAGAAGAAGCGCCGGCCAACUACGUG
rnacentral:rRNA from 1 species